GACGGCGUAGCAUAGUGGUAGUGUGUUCGCCUCGGAACCGAGAGGUUGUGGGUUCGAAUCCGGCUGCCGUGU
rfam:Branchiostoma floridae genomic scaffold BRAFLscaffold_184, whole genome shotgun sequence.